rnacentral:rRNA from 1 species
AUUGAACGCUGGCGGCAGGCCUAACACAUGCAAGUCGAACGACUGGCGGACGGGUGAGUAAUGUCUGGGAAACUGCCCGAUGGAGGGGGAUAACUACUGGCAACGGUAGCUAAUACCGCAUACAAUCGGUUGUGCCCAGAUGGGAUUAGCUAGGUGGUGGGGGAACGGCGCACCUAGGCGACGCACCCUCGCUGGUCUGAGAGUAUGGCCAGCAACACUGGAACUGAGACACGGUCCAGACUCCUACGGGAGGAAGCAGUGGGGAAUAUUGCACAAUGGGCGCAAGCCUGAUGCAGCCAUGCCGGGUGUAUGAAGAAGGCCUGCGGGUUGUAAAGUACGUUCAGCGAGGAGGCGUUACUCGCAGAAGAAGCACCGGCUAACUCCGUGCCAGCCGCCGCGGUAAUAC